rnacentral:rRNA from 1 species
UACAGAGGGGGCAAGCGUUGUUCGGAAUUACUGGGCGUAAAGGGCGCGUAGGCGGCCUGUUAAGUCGAACGUGAAAUCCCCGGGCUCAACCCGGGAACUGCGUCCGAUACUGGCAGGCUUGAAUUCGGGAGAGGGAUGCGGAAUUCCAGGUGUAGCGGUGAAAUGCGUAGAUAUCUGGAGGAACACCGGUGGCGAAGGCGGCAUCCUGGACCGAGAUUGACGCUGAGGCGCGAAAGCCGGGGGAGCAAACGGG